UUUAUGUUGUGAUGAUAUAUGAAUUUAUUCAAUAACUUCAUAGAUUUCGAAAGAAAUCAAUGAGAAUUCAAUUCAUUAUACUGAGCAGAAA
rfam:Daucus carota subsp. sativus cultivar DH1 chromosome 4, whole genome shotgun sequence.